CUGUGAUGGAGGAAGCCCCCAGCCCUUCUCAAUGCUGCCUUUGCUUCCUCCAUCUAAGGUGAGCGUUAUGCUGCCUACCCUCAUGAUGCAGUCCUUCUGUAUGCUGAGAUCCUGAUGGAAGUGGUAACAGCCGGGAGCGUUUUCCUGGAUGGGAGGCCAGCUAGUGAUCUGGGAGUCUGAAAGGCUCCAACUGGACCAUGUUGCAGGCCACCCCAGAGGGCCAUGCCUGUGUCCAGAGGGAACAACAGUACCACGUCUAGUGGGACCAUUUUGGGAGAUGUCAACUCCUUUACGGACAGCCAGCGGGGUCAAGAGCUCUUUUAUGCCCCAGUAGGGCUUUACCA
rnacentral:lncRNA from 1 species